rnacentral:rRNA from 1 species
UACGUAGGGGGCAAGCGUUGUCCGGAAUCAUUGGGCGUAAAGCGCGUGUAGGCGGCCCGAUAAGUCCGCUGUGAAAGUCCAGGGCUCAACCCUGGGAUGCCGGUGGAUACUGUCGGGCUCGAGUCCGGAAGAGGAGUGUGGAAUUCCUGGUGUAGCGGUGAAAUGCGCAGAUAUCAGGAGGAACACCAAUGGCGAAGGCAGGUCUCUGGGCCACUACUGACGCUGAGAAGCGAAAGCAUGGGGAGCGAACAGG